UACGGAGGGGGCUAGCGUUGUUCGGAAUUACUGGGCGUAAAGCGGGCGUAGGCGGAUCGCUAAGUCAGGGGUGAAAGCCCGGGGCUCAACCUCGGAACUGCCUUUGAUACUGUCGGUCUCGAGAUUGGGAGAGGUGAGUGGAAUUCCGAGUGUAGAGGUGAAAUUCGUAGAUAUUCGGAGGAACACCAGUGGCGAAGGCGGCUCACUGGCUCGAUACUGACGCUGAGGUGCGAAAGCGUGGGGAGCAAACAGG
rnacentral:rRNA from 1 species